AAAACCCUAGCAAGCGUUGUCCACAUAUCGAGAUUACCGCACCGAUCAUCGGCAUCAUUCUCGAGGGGUGAGGGAGCAUUGUAACCACCGAUAAGGCGAGAUUGAGUUUGGGAAGCACGAUCAUUGCAUGAUGGCAGUGAGUUGGGAGAAACGGCCGGCGGGGGAGAAAGCUCCGGAGUAUUUGGCAGAUGCUGAGUUGUUCACAAUUAAGAUCCAUUACACAAUUGGUACUGUAGAAACAUUGGCUGGGUUUAUUGAUUUUUGUUGUCCAGACCUAAUAUCAAGAAUUGAGUUGUUAAGUAUGUGUAGGGAAUUCAAUCUAGAUGUCUCUGAAUGCAAAAUGUGGUGGUUAGAUAUGACUAGUGACCCUAGUUGCCUGAGGAAAAUUAGAGAUGACAUUGAUGCACUAACCAUGGCAAGUACUGUAGACUCAUCCAAGGAGGUAUAUGUGCUUGUCAGAAUUGCAAACAGUGGACAAGUAAAAGCAUUAAAUGUACCCGUGGAAAUAGAUGAAGAAGAGGAAAUGAGUGCAUCAGACAGUGGUUUGGAGGGCUUAAUACUUGGUGAUAACAGUAAAGGGAAUAGACAUGAUGCAGACUUAGAAUUCCAUGAUUCUGACUAUGAUUUUAGCAAUGAAUCUAAUAGAGAUAAAGUAAACACCAAUGAGACAGAAAGGGUAGUGGUUGGUAUCAUUGGGGAACCACCAAGAUCAGUUCAGGAAAUUGACAUUGAAUCAGAUUAUUUAGAGUCUGAUGAAUUCCAGUCCUGCAGUUCUACGGAUGAGGAUGAACUAAUUAGCAAAAGGCCUAAAUACUCAGAAUUUAAUGACGAGUGUGAUAUGAGAAAUCCACAAUUCGAAAUAGGCAUGAAGUUCAGGUCUUUUAAGCAAUUCAAAGAAGCUGUUAAAAAUUAUGGCAUUAGAAAUAGAUAUGUCCUCAAGUUCAAACCCAAUUCUCAAAAAAGAUGUAAGGCCUUAUGUAAGAAAAAUUGUUCUUUCUACUUAUGGGCCUCCCCUAUGGUAAAGGACAGUAACACAAUACAGAUAAAAUCUGGGCAUUUGAAGCAUGAGUGUGCAAGGGAUCACAAUAACAAGCAUGUCAAUGCAGAGUGGAUAACUAAUGCAUAUUUGGAACAAUUUAGGGCUGACCCUAAUUGGAAAGUGUCUGGCAUUAUCCAAGCAGUGAAGAUCAACCAAAGAGGUUGACAUCAGCAGGCUGAAGGCUUAUAGGGCAAAAUGCAUUGCCCUAAGGCUCAUAGAUGGUGAUGAGCAAUCACAGAUGACAAGUCUUUAUGAUUACAGGUUAGAACUUCUAAGGGCUCACCCUAGAUCAACAAUAAAGUUCAAGUGUGAUGGGGGAGUAUUCAAAGCCAUGUACAUUUGCCUAGCACCUCUCAGACAGGGCUUUCUAGCAGGAUGCAGACAAGUGAUCUCCAUUGACGGUUGCUUCUUAAAAGGCAUGUAUGGUGGCCAACUCUUAACAGCAGUGGGGGUAGAUGCUAAUGAUUGCAUCUACCCCAUUGCAUGGGCAACAGUGAGGAAGGAGAAUAGGGAAAAUUGGACAUGGUUCCUUGGACUUUUACAAGGGGACCUGCAGAUCAACAACAGCAAUCACUGGUGCUUCAUGUCUGACAGACUAAAAGGUUUGUUAGAUUUUUAUUUCAGUGAUGUGACUUAAUUAUCAGUUAGCUGGAUGUUUGUUGAUAUCAACAAUGAAUCUUUUAUUGUUGUAGUGAAUAUGUUCCUCUAAUUGUAGUUGUAUGGUUUGUCACUACUUUUGCCAAUUUAAAUAUCAUGAUUGAUGCAUUCAUUCUGAUUUCAUUACAUUAUUUGUUAUGUAAUAUGUUGUAUAGCAUAUAAGCAGGAUUUAAUUAAUUAUCUGUGUAACACUUGACCUGCCUAAUGUCAUGGCAAUUGCAUUAUUUUGAACUCACCCUAAUUAAUUUGCUAUGCAUUGUGUUGUUCAUCACAUGAUCUGAUGAUAAUUAAUGUCAUAAGUUGUUGAUUUAAAUGAGGUUGUAUGUGGUUCUGCCUAAUGUUAUCAAUGAUUGUGAAAUGUUAUCACUGAUUAUGGAAAUGUAUUGUUUAACUAUCUACUUUAAUUUCGUCAUGCAUGUUCUAACAUUAAUUUUUUUUCUUCUAAUUUGUUUACAUUUGUGGGUGUUGAUGGUGUGCCAUUCACAUGUCCAUUCUUAGGGUUUAGUACCUGCCAUUGAGGAAUUAUUCCCAAGUAGUGAGCAUAGGUUCUGUGUUAGACAUAUCCACACAAACUUUAGAAAAAAUUUUAAAGGCAAGGCAUUGAAGGAUGCAGUUUGGGCAUGUGCAACUGCAACAUCUAUUCCUGCCUUUGAAAAAGCUAUGACCACUUUGAAAGACAUGUCCAUAGGUGCAUAUGACUAUAUGAAGAACAUAGAUCCGAGGCAUUGGACAAGGUCACAUUUUCAGUCAAAAUUCAAGUGUGAUCUGCUAUUAAACAACAUGUGUGAAUGUUUUAAUAAAAAUAUCCUUGAAGCAAGGCUUAAAGGAAUUGUAACAAUGAAUGAGAUGAUCAGAACCCAAUUGAUGAUUAGAAUUCAAAGAAGGAGGAACUCAAUGAAGAAAUGCACAACUUUGCAUUGUCCAAGGAUAAUGAAAAAAUUGGAGAAGUUAAAGCAGUCAAGUUUCCUAUAUACUACAACUUGGUCUGGAGGGGAUCAAUACCAAGUCUUAGGACCUGAUGGUCAGUUUGUAGUGGACAAGAUUAGGGCUACUUGUUCAUGUAGGAGGUGGCAGUUGACUGGUGUGCCAUGCUCUCAUGCCAUAUCAGUGAUUUACUACAACAGUGAUAGAGUAGAAAAUUACUUGCACAACUGCUACAAAAUCAGCACUUACAUGGACACAUAUGGGCACACCUUAUCCCCCACUCAUGAUAAAAAUGCUUGCCCUAAGAGUGAUCAAGGGCCUAUGAUCCCUCCUUAACCAAUUAGCAAAAGGAGAGGCAGAAAGACCGUGCUAAGGAGAAAGGAGUUGGAUGAAGAAACCAAAGUCUUCACCAAGGGAAAAGUUAGCAAGAAGGGUGUGACAAUUAGGUGCAGCCUUUGUGGAGCCGCAGACCACAACAAGAGGUUCCAUGGUGGUGGGCAGGAGAAAAAAUCCAAUGCAGUGACCAAGGAAUAUGCACAAACCAGUGGAAUAAGCCAGGACAACCCAAUGAAUGAUAUUGACAGUCAAGUUCUGUAUGAACAUUUUACAAUGGUUGAUGCCUUGAUUGGUGGGAAUCAAAAUGAUCAAAUGAGAACAAAUCAGGAUGCAGAACCCAGAACACAGUUUCAAAGUUGGAGUAGGAGCACCCUAAAUGAAUCAAGUCAGCCAUUGCCAUUUGAAGACCCCAACUUAAAGGUGAUUGAUGCACCUAAGACAAGUCAAGACAUGGGGUCACAACAUGCAAAAAAUACAAUCAUAGGGAGGCAAAAAAUGGAAGUCAUAGGAGGCAAGGGAAGCACAAGUGCAAAGCCUCAACACACUACCAAAAAAAUUGCACAUGCCACACCAAAAGUUCCAGUGCCAAAGCCCCAAGGGAAAGGUAAAGAUGAUGAAGGAAGACAUAGAGAACAAGAUGGUGCAAUGAGAAAGAAGGUUUGGGUUCCACCUGGAGGAAGUGGCACAUACUAUGGGAAGUAACACCUUCUACUGCCUAGGUGUACCACAAUGUAUGGAUGUGAAAUCAAAAGCAAUGUUGUAAUGAACACUUCUCAUUGGUUUUGUUUCACCAGUUUUGUAAAACCUGCCUUUCCUAUCUUUUAAUGAUAAUGAAAAUCUUUUAAUUA